rnacentral:rRNA from 1 species
CUACGGGGUGCACCAGUGGGGAAUAUUGCACAAUGGGCGAAAGCCUGAUGCAGCAACGCCGCGUGAGCGAUGAAGGCCUUCGGGUCGUAAAGCUCUGUCCUAAAGGAAGAAUUUUUGACGGUACUUUAGGAGGAAGCCCCGGCUAAUUACGUGCCAGCAGCCGCGGUAAUACGUAAGGGGCUAGCGUUAUCCGGAAUUACUGGGCGUAAAGGGUACGUAGGCGGUUUAUUAAGUCAGGGGUGAAAGGCUACGGCUCAACCGUAGUAAGCCUUUGAAACUGAUAAACUUGAGUAUGGUAGAGGAAAGUGGAAUUCCUGGUGUAGCGGUGAAAUGCGUAGAUAUCAGGAGGAACAUCGAUGGCGAAGGCAGCUUUCUGGGCCAUUACUGACGCUGAGGUACGAAAGCGUGGGGAGCGAACAGGAUUAGAUACCCUAGUAGUC